AGCUUGCCAUAUCCAUGCUGAGAUUUCGUCAGCGACCAACCCGUUAGGGCUGAUGAAACUUUCCAAAUAAGUGAAGUG
rnacentral:pre_miRNA from 1 species